CUCCAGAAACAGCUCCUGGACGUCCAGAAGGA
rnacentral:scRNA from 1 species